rnacentral:ncRNA from 1 species
ACACGGGAGAACUGGCAAACCAGUGCCGAAGGAGCAACCGCCCCGGAAACUCUCAGGCGAAAGGACCGCGUU